GACGAACGCUGGCGGCGUGCUUAACACAUGCAAGUCGAACGGAAAGGCCCUGCUUUUGUGGGGUGCUCGAGUGGCGAACGGGUGAGUAACACGUGAGUAACCUGCCCUUGACAUUGGGAUAACUUCAGGAAACUGGGGCUAAUACCGGAUAGGAGCCCCUGUUGCAUGGUGGGGGUGGGAAAUUUUCGGCGGGUGGGGAUGGACUCGCGGCUGAUCAGCUUGUUGGUUGGGGAGUGGCUUACCAAGGCUUUGACGGGUAGGCGGCAGGAGAGGGUGGCCGGCCACAAUGGGCCUACGAUACGGACCAGACUGCAACGGGGGACAGCGGUGGGGAGUAUUACACAAUGGGCCGGAGCCUGAUGAAGCGGCGCCGCGUGCGGGAUGACGGCCUUCGGGUUGUGAACCGCUUUAGCCUGUGACGAAGCGUGAGUGACGGUAAUGGGUAAAGAAGCACCGGCUAACUACGUG
rnacentral:rRNA from 1 species